ensembl:lncRNA
UUGUGGUAAAAUCUCACACGUUUUCUUAAUCUAUAUGCAAACCAGGUAGGAUUGACAGCUGAAGAAAGCUGCACAUUGCCUGGGCUCAAAGUUUUCUGUUCUCCCUCUGAGGGAAAAUCUUUGAGCUCCGUGGCAGUGCCUCGAAGCCAUGGCCCUUGUCUUAGACUUUGCCCUGGCCCGGGUGAGUGCCUGACCCUUGCUAAUGUGUGGGACCUUUAGCAGCAGACAGUCGGGGGAGGUAACCAGAGCCCCCACAUGCCAGUGAUUCAUGUUCUCUGAAGGGAUCAGAGUGUUAUUAGAAACCUUGCUGCCAAAUGCAGGGCAAAUGUAACCAAUUUAUUAAUGCUGAAAAACCAAUGUGUUAAAUUGGACCAAGAGGAGAGAGGCGCCGGCCCCUCACCCACUUCCUGCUCUCUGGCAGUGGCAGAAGGAGGGUGGUGGACAAAGGGUUCUGUCUUUUGCAGGAGGACAUUGCUGUCCUAAUCACAUGUGAUAUUGACAACAAAUAUUUCUGGCCGAACUUCAAAGGGCUGGGAGAUAAUUGUAUCCACCAUCCGCGACCUGGCUGUGAUGCCUCAGCGUGCAGCUCGCAGGUUGUAAAGAGCGCUGGGCAGGAAGGUAGGGAGCUUGGUCUCCUUCCAUCCCAGCUGUGCUCUUCAUUAUUGGGAUCAGUUGAGGAAACUGAGCACAGAGAGUUAAUGAACGUGCCCAAGAUUACGGGUUGAAGUGAAGAGGAUUCGUGCCCACAUCUGUUUAACUAUGCUCCUCACCACCCAAGUCUAAAGAGUGGAAAUCUCACCAAAUUUGGGGGUAAUCUGGUAGGACUGUUAAGAAGCAAAUGCGGCAAUUUUCUUGCUAAGGCUGCUUUGGGAAGUCUCAUAUUUCAGAUUACCAAUUUUUGAAGAAUUGGCUUACUGUAAAAACAAUGCACAUGCAUUUCACAAGAGCAUAAGUAAAUCUUUAUGGUGAUUCAGAGAAACCUUAGAAACAGAAAAUGUCAGGGUUUUCUGGGUUGGCAUCAUUAUCAUCGUACAAGACUAUAGGGGUGGGAGAUAAGAUCUGGUUAUUUUAGAUUCCUAGAUAUUUAGAUUCUGGCUGAAUGUCAUUUAUUUUGUAAUUAACAUCAUGUGUCACAUCUCAACAAUAAAUGCAAGGUAGUGUCUAGUAGGGAAGUCUGAUUAGUAAGUCUUGCAUUAGUGUCUUGUUAAUAGUCCAUAUAUGAAGGACUAACUCUUGUUAACUGAAGAUAGCCUUUUUAGUUGAUUAUGGACAUGAUUAUUUGAAAAUGCUGAUGGACUUCCCACACUCAACUGCUUUUAAAUUCACAAGUUCUUUUCUUCUGGAAACGUGUUUGAUGUAUUACAAUGUCAUGUUCUGAUUGGCAUGAUGUACCUGAAGCGGGGAGCUGCCUUCCCUUUCUGGGAGCUUUCUCUCCUCCUCCCCUUUCCAGUGAUAGUUUAACAGGUCCUGAGGCUGCUGCGUGCCACAAGACAGGAGGGCCACUUCCAGCAUCACUGAGAUCUAGAAGGAAAGUUCAGUCUUCAUGUUUAGUUAAAAUCUAGUCCAAUUCCUCUUGCUCAUUUUGGUAUUUGGAAGAGCAUCCCUAUUUUUGCCUUCCUUUCCAAUAAGCUGUAACUCCUCCAGAUCUUCUCAGGAGAAUAAAUCACUCA